GGUUAAGCGACUAAGCGUACACGGUGGAUGCCCUGGCAGUCAGAGGCGAUGAAGGGCGUGCUAAUCUGCGAUAAGCGCCGGUAAGGUGAUAUGAACCGUUAUAACCGGCGAUACCCGAAUGGGGAAACCCAGUGUGACUCGUCACACUAUCA
rnacentral:rRNA from 1 species